UACGUAGGGGGCUAGCGUUGUCCGGAAUCAUUGGGCGUAAAGAGCGUGUAGGCGGUCCGGUAAGUCCGCUGUGAAAGUCGGGGGCUCAACCCUCGAAUGCCGGUGGAUACUGUCGGGCUAGAGUGCGGAAGAGGCGAGUGGAAUUCCUGGUGUAGCGGUGAAAUGCGUAGAGAUCUGGAGGAACACCGAUGGCGAAGGCAGCCUUCUGGGCCAACACUGACGCUCAUGCACGAAAGCGUGGGGAGCAAACAGG
rnacentral:rRNA from 1 species